rnacentral:rRNA from 1 species
AACGAACGCUGGCGGCAGGCUUAACACUUGCAAGUCGAACGCCCUAGCAAUAGGGAGUGGCGCACGGGUGAGUAACGCGUGGGAAUGUACCGUUUAGUGGGGGAUAACCAAGGGAAACUUUGGCUAAUACCGCAUACGCCCUUCGGGGGAAAGAUUUAUCGCUAAACGAUCAGCCCGCGUGAGAUUAGGUAGUUGGUGGGGUAACGGCCUACCAAGCCGACGAUCUCUAGCUGGUCUGAGAGGAUGAUCAGCCACACUGGAACUGUGACACGGUCCAGACUCCUACGGGAGGCAGCAGUGGGGAAUAUUGGACAAUGGGGGCAACCCUGAUCCAGCCAUGCCGCGUGAGUGAUGAAGGCCUUAGGGUUGUAAAGCUCUUUUACCGAUGAAGAUAAUGACGGUAGUCGGAGAAAAAGCCCCGGCUAACUUCGUGCCAGCCGCCGCUGUAA